rnacentral:rRNA from 1 species
GUGGGGAAUAUUGGACAAUGGGGGGAACCCUGAUCCAGCCAUGCCGCGUGUGUGAAGAAGGCCUUUUGGUUGUAAAGCACUUUAAGUGGGGAGGAGGCUUACCUGGUUAAUACCUGGGCUAAGUGGACGUUACCCACAGAAUAAGCACCGGCUAACUCUGUGCCAGCAGCCGCGGUAAUACAGAGGGUGCGAGCGUUAAUCGGAUUUACUGGGCGUAAAGCGCGCGUAGGUGGUUAAUUAAGUCAAAUGUGAAAUCCCCGAGCUUAACUUGGGAAUUGCAUUCGAUACUGGUUAGCUAGAGUAUGGGAGAGGAUGGUAGAAUUCCAGGUGUAGCGGUGAAAUGCGUAGAGAUCUGGAGGAAUACCGAUGGCGAAGGCAGCCAUCUGGCCUAAUACUGACACUGAGGUGCGAAAGCAUGGGGAGCAAACAGGAUUAGAAACCCGAGUAGUCC